rnacentral:lncRNA from 1 species
UUUUGUUUUUAUGCUAUGAUUAUUGUGUCUAGUGUGAAUACUUGGAUUUUGUAAGCAGAAAGUUUCCAGGCCUGCUGCUUUUCUUUUAAAUGUCAACUAUUUAUUUGCGUGUUUAUUCCUCGGUGUAAUGUUUUUAAGUUUUUUCUGGUUCAUGUCUCUUAUUGCUCUAGGCUAUAUAGUUUGGCGAGAAUGCCAGGAGCAUUUUUUAUUUUUGAAUGUCACAUGCUGCAUAAUGCUCUGAUCAUUUGUUAUUUUUGUCUAAAACUUAAAUACCUUGGUAUAAUAUUCAAUCAAGUUAUUGUUGCUUUACUUAACAUCCUCAACUUUACCUGAUGCAAUGCUUGCUUUAUAUUUCUUUUCGAGAUAAAUUUCUUUUUUAAUUUGUGAAGCAUAUACUACGGUACAAGUGCAUCUUCUCUCUUGCCACAGAAUAUUUAAAGCAGCUUCAAGUUCCUAAGUCCAAGUGAGUUUUCGUUUCAACUAUGCCAUGCCUGUUGUAAUAUUGCAGAAAAAUAUAGACCCCUAUUAAACAACUUAUAUAUGUAUUUAUAGUUUCUUCUUCAGCAACUUAUGUACAUGUACAAAUUGAUGCAUGAUUGAGUUAUGUUCUAUACCGUUUAGUUACUAUAUUUUAAACUCUGUUGGCAGAAGGAAUGUUCAUACUUGGCUUUAUAAUUUCAUUUGUCAAAUUUUCUCUGCAUUUUUCCCUGGAAUUCUCUGAAAUUCCUCGCUUCUAGCUCGCCCAGCAAAUGUAUUCUGCCUCAGAAUCCCGUGCUUUGGACUAAUUCUUGGUCAUCAAUCUCAAAACCUAUAUAUAUUAGAUUAAAUACUUACAUCAAAUUGGGUGUUUUUUACUAAGAUUACUUGCAAAACAAGUCAAUAAGUGCUAAUGAGCUUAACAUGAUUUUGGCACUUAUCAUUCAUCUUUCAAUCUACCAGGUAAAUAUAUGUACUUCUUUUCCUCUAGUUUGUCGGAAAAAAAAUUCAUCUCAACUGUUUCCUUAAAUUAUAUUAACAACAUUUUUUAUUCACCUGAUCUGUAU